rnacentral:lncRNA from 1 species
UUGAAAAUGGUGUGUCAACUGUUUUUUUUUUUUUUUUAAAUAAAACAUUUCAGCAUAAAUAUACUGUUGAACCAUCUCUUAUCGUGUGCAUCAUCAUGCUUGUCACUACAGAAACAUUAUCUUUCUAGCAUAUGUGUUCAUAUAUAUAUAUGCAUACGCAUAUGAAGUUCCUCUAGUAAUAAAUAAUUAAAGAGGUUUCAGAAGAAUGUUAAGUUGAAAACUUA